GAAAUGCGAUAAGUAAUGUGAAUUGCAGAAUUCAGUGAAUCAUCGAAUCUUUGAACGCACCUUGCGCUCCUUGGUAUUCCUUGGAGCAUGCCUGUUUGAGUAUCAUGAAAUCUUCAAAGUAAAUCUUUUGUUAACUCAAUUGGUUUCUACUUUGGUAUUGGAGGUCUUUGCAGCUUCACACCUGCUCCUCUUUGUUCAUUAGCUGGAUCUCAGUGUUAUGCUUGGUUCCACUCGGCGUGAUAAGUUAUCUAUCGCUGAGGACACUGUAAAAGGUGGCCAAGGUAAAUUCAGAUGAACCGCUUCUAAUAGUCCAUUGACUUGGACAAUACUUUUAUGAUCUGAACUCAAAUCAGGUAGGACUACCCGCUGAACUUAAGC
rnacentral:misc_RNA from 1 species